rnacentral:rRNA from 1 species
ACAUGCAAGUCGAGCGAACAGAUAAGGAGCUUGCUCCUUCUGUAUAAAUAGCGGCGGACGGGUGAGUAACACGUGGGUAACCUACCUAUAAGACUGGAAUAACUCCGGGAAACCGGGGCUAAUGCCGGAUAACAUAUAGAACCGCAUGGUUCUAUAGUGAAAGAUGGUUUUGCUAUCACUUAUAGAUGGACCCGCGCCGUAUUAGCUAGUUGGUAAGGUAAUGGCUUACCAAGGCGACGAUACGUAGCCGACCUGAGAGGGUGAUCGGCCACACUGGAACUGAGACACGGUCCAGACUCCUACGGGAGGCAGCAGUAGGGAAUCUUCCGCAAUGGGCGAAAGCCUGACGGAGCAACGCCGCGUGAGUGAUGAAGGGUUUCGGCUCGUAAAACUCUGUUAUUAGGGAAGAACAUAUGUGUAAGUAACUGUGCACAUCUUGACGGUACCUAAUCAGAAAGCCACGGCUAACUACGUGCCAGCAGCCGCGGUAAUACGUAGGUGGCAAGCGUUAUCCGGAAUUAUUGGGCGUAAAGCGCGCGUAGGCGGUUUCUUAAGUCUGAUGUGAAAGCCCACGGCUCACCGUGGAGGAUCAUUGGAAACUGGGAAACUUGAGUGCAAGAAGAAGAAAGUGGAAUUCCAUGUGUAUCGGUGAAAUGCGCAGAGAUAUGGAUGAACACCAGUGGCGA